rnacentral:rRNA from 1 species
AAUGAACGCUGGCGGCGCGCCUAAUACAUGCAAGUCGAGCGAGAAGACGUAGCAAUACGUUUGUAAAGCGGCGGACGGGUGAGGAAUACAUGGGUAACCUACCCUCGAGUGGGGAAUAACUAGCCGAAAGGUUAGCUAAUACCGCGUACGCUCCUUGGACUUCGGUUCAGGGAGGAAAGCGAUACCGUGGGUAUCGCGCUCUUGGUUGGGCUCAUGUCCUAUCAGCUUGUUGGUGAGGAACGGCUCACCAAGGCUUCGACGGGUAGCUGGUCUGAGAGGACGAUCAGCCACACUGGCACUGCGACACGGGCCAGACUCCUACGGGAGGCAGCAGUAAGGAAUAUUGCGCAAUGGGCGAAAGCCUGACGCAGCGACGCCGCGUGAGGGAU